rnacentral:rRNA from 1 species
UACGUAGGGGGGCAAGCGUUGUCCGGAUUUAUUGGGCGUAAAGCGCGCGCAGGCGGUUUAUUAAGUCUGAUGUGAAAGCCCACGGCUCAACCGUGGAGGGCCAUUGGAAACUGGUAGGCUUGAGUGCAGGAGAGGAGAGCGGAAUUCCCGGUGUAGCGGUGAAAAUGCGUAGAUAUCGGGGAGGAACACCCCGUGGCGAAGGCGGCUCUCUGGCCCGAUACUGACGCUGAGGCACGAAAGCGUGGGGAGCAAACAGGG